GGGGGGGGUCCGGCGGCGCGGCCCGGCCGGUGCGGCGAGCGGGAGAGCCUGACCUGCAGCUGCUGUAAAUCAAAGCGCUUCCAAUAUUGAAACAUCGAUCCCACAUUGGCCGCCAUCUUGAGACAUAUUGAGACAGAAUGAAAGAGGCUGGAGUUCCUGUCUUCACCCUUUCUCCGCUGCCUCCCUGCUCUACCAGUCUGUUCUGUGUCCAGGCAACUGCAAAAAGACAUUUCAAAGGCUCCUGCCGUGCCAUGUAGAUGUUUUCUCUUGUUAGUUUGGACUGCAGGAGUUACAUCUUUUCACAUUAUUGCCAGUUUGAAAUGAAAGCGCUGUGGCUAGAUACCAAAGCUUUUAGCUAUGUAAUUUAGAUAAGUAUAAACAGUACGGCUGAUUUUAGGAAGUGCUGAGAAGCCCUAACUCUGCUGGAAGACAGACGCUGAGCACCUAUAAUUCCUAUUGUCUUCUGUGCAGGAUCGAGUCCCUUAUUUGCCAUUUUGUGUGGCAGCAAGCCCAAGGAAAUCUUGUUUGACAGCUCUGUUUUCUCAAAGUGCUGUAUUUCUUCGGGCUGGAUUCUGCAAAGAUCCUGCAGGGUACAGAGCUCCUCGGAGCAAGCGAUAAAUUUGCUUUGUGCUCCUGCUGAAACGUACUUGGGAAAGAUGGAAGAAGGAUCUUGGAAAAUGUGUGCACCCUGGCAAGAAGAUGGUUAGAAGAACAUUUCCCUUGAAUUAUUAUGUUUUGAGAAACCAGCCUCAUCUGUUCAUUUGAGAAAGGUUUUCGUAAGGUUAGAUUUGAUCUGUGUAAAUGCUAACUUCUUUCAACGUGCACUAAUAGAGUACUGAAAAAGUAAGUACAGUGGGUUUGAAGUUUAAAUCUCAGAUGACGGCAGUAACUAAUAGUGCUUCAGGAAUGCUUGCUACAGCCAAAACAUUUGUAAGUAUGUUGUACAGAUUUCUGUUUCAUUUUCACCCAGGUAUAGUCAUACAGGCACUAUUUUAGGAAUUAGGCAAAUACCUGAUUAAAAUUUCUUUCCUAUUAAUGUCACUGUGUUAUAAAACCUCACUGAUACAGAUAUUUAAUUAUGCACAUUGGGCCAUCAAUGGCAAUUGCUCUUGUUGUGCCUCACAUGUCAUCGUCCGGAAUGGACCUUUAUUCCAAGGGUCCCAAACUUGUCAGAAGCAAUUCAUUGUCACAGCUGCUCCUCUGGGCAGCAGUCUGCAUUUGUUAAGAUAUUUUGGACCAUAAGUCCAAUUUUAAUUUCCAGACUUAAGCUUCUAUUUGCCUUAGGAGCUCUAGCUCAUUUCCUUGGCCAGGACACUGAAAGAUGAGGUGCUGCCUCUCCCAGCAAUGCUGUAACUUUGAGGUUCUUCUCCACAAAUUCAUGGUUUUUCUUCUCUUUCACUUAAUGUGACUCCCAAAUUUCUAUCAGUUCCCACAGAAGAGUUCUUCUGGAGCCUUAUCGGUACCCAUCUCUGCUCCUUGUCCAGCCCCUUCCCUCCUCACUUCCAUGGCUCUCAUCUUCACAUUUUCUUCAGUUGCUUCUUGUCCCUGGCUGCCUGGCUCCAUAUGCCUGUGCCCACUGAAAGGAAUGUCCUGUUCUGAAAUCCCAGCCUUUCCACUGUGAAGGUGUCAUUCUGCUCACUAUUAAACCAGAUUUGAGAGCAAAGCAAGUUCCAUUUCUCAUUAUUACACCAUGCCAUUGCAUAGAGGACUCCAUAGGCAUGGCAGAGAAUAGAGACAGCCAGACAGAUAAUUCAUAUUGCUGGGAGAUUUAGUCCAAGAUCAAAACCCAUACAUGUCUUCCAAAUCACAGGUACUUUUUUCCCCAGUUAUAGGCACUGACUAGAAUUCCGUUUGAUUUAUAUCUGUUGUAGAGCCAGAGGUUUUGCAGCAUAUAAAUUGCAAGGGGAUUGCAAGACGUGGACACAAUGAUACACAUGAGUUCGAGAAUCCCCCUGGGCAGAAAAUGGUUGG